GACGAACCGUGCGAACGUUGUUCGGAAUCACUGGGCUUAAAGGGCGCGUAGGCGGGCCAUAAAGUCAGGGGUGAAAUCCUCCAGCUUAACUGGAGAACUGCCUUUGAUACUGAUGGUCUCGAGUAAGGUAGGGGCAUGCGGAACUGAUGGUGGAGCGGUGAAAUGUGUUGAUAUCAUCAGGAACUCCGGUGGCGAAGGCGGCAUGCUGGGCAGUAGCUGACACUGAGGCGCGACAGCGUGGGGAGCAAACAGG
rnacentral:rRNA from 1 species